rnacentral:rRNA from 1 species
GAUGAACGCUAGCGGCAGGCUUAAUACAUGCAAGUCGUGGGGCAGCAGGGGUAGCAAUACCCGCUGGCGACCGGCAAACGGGUGCGGAACACGUACGCAACCUUCCUUUAACUGGAGAAUAGCCCCGAGAAAUCGGGAUUAAUACUCCGUAACAUUAUGAAGUGGCAUCACUUUAUAAUUAUAGCUCCGGCGGUUAAAGAUGGGCGUGCGCCUGAUUAGAUAGUUGGCGGGGUAACGGCCCACCAAGUCUGCGAUCAGUAACUGGUGUGAGAGCACGACCAGUCACACGGGCACUGAGACACGGGCCCGACUCCUACGGGAGGCAGCAGUAAGGAAUAUUGGUCAAUGGACGCAAGUCUGAACCAGCCAUGCCGCGUGGAGA